rnacentral:rRNA from 1 species
UACGAAGGGGGCUAGCGUUGUGCGGAAUUACUGGGCGUAAAGCGUGCGCAGGCGGUUUUGUAAGCCAGAUGUGAAAUCCCCGGGCUUAACCUGGGAAUGGCAUUUGGGACUGCAAGGCUGGAGUGUGGCAGAGGAGACUGGAAUUCCUGGUGUAGCAGUGAAAUGCGUAGAUAUCAGGAGGAAUACCGAUGGCGAAGGCAGGUCUCUGGGCUGACACUGACGCUCAUGCACGAAAGCGUGGGGAGCGAACAGG